rnacentral:rRNA from 1 species
AGUGAACGCUGGCGGUAGGCCUAACACAUGCAAGUCGAACGGCAGCACAGUAAGAGCUUGCUCUUACGGGUGGCGAGUGGCGGGCGGGUGAGGAAUACAUCGGAAUCUACUCUUUCGUGGGGGCUAACGUAGGGAAACUUACGCUAAUACCGCAUACGACCUACGGGUGAAAGCAGGGGAUCUUCGGACCUUGCGCGAUUGAAUGAGCCGAUGUCGGAUUAGCUAGUUGGCGGGGUAAAGGCCCACCAAGGCGACGAUCCGUAGCUGGUCUGAGAGGAUGAUCAGCCACACUGGAACUGAGACACGGUCCAGACUCCUACGGGAGGCAGCAGUGGGGAAUAUUGGACAAUGGGCGCAAGCCUGAUCCAGCCAUACCGCGUGGGUGAAGAAGGCCUUCGGGUUGUAAAGCCCUUUUGUUGGGAAAGAAAAGCAGCAUGUUAAUACCCCGCUGUUCUGACGGUACCCAAAGAAUAAGCACCGGCUAACUUCGUG